ensembl:lncRNA
CACAGAACACACAGAACUGCUUGUGCUUGACACUGAAGAGUUUGUUGAAAAAGUGCAGAUUUUGUCCACUUCAUAUGUCUGGCAAUCACAGAAACAACAUGAGGGAAAUCCACACCUUACAUGUACAGUAAGAUAUAAAAGUAUUACCAAUAAGCCUUUCUCAGAUGAGCAGGGUUACGCUGAGGACAUGCUCAACUGGCCUUCAGUACCAUACAGACAUUGAGACCUUUGUUGGCCAAGACAAAACCGUAUCUAUCAGUGAGAGAGCACAGUUCUACCCACACAACACAUACAAACCAUCCAACCGACAGGCUUCCGAGAGUUUUAAGAGUAAAAUUCAAUCACUUUCCCAGCAAUUUAAUUUCUACAUUUACUUAAUAAAAAUUUUCUGCAAUGAAACGCCAGUGUAGAAUAACACAAAAGGCAUGGACACAAUUAUUUUUAUGGCUGACCUUACUGCAUAUGCGUUUGUAGUAGUUUCCCUUUCAGAUGCAAAAUUUAUAGAAGGGAGAGUAUUCAUUUAAAUUAUUGAAAUUAAUCAUGCAAGGUGAUUUACUAAGGUUUGCUUUAGUCAAUUUACUGAUAUUUAGCCCCAAAAAAAAAUGUCUUCACCAAUUUUGUGUGUUUUGUUAGUAGAUUACACUCACCUGAUUAUGAUCGG